GGGGCUAUGGCGCAGCUGGUAGCGCAUCUGCUUUGCAAGCAGAGGGUCCUCGGUUCGAACCCGAGUAGCUCCA
rnacentral:tRNA from 6 species